AUUAGAGGUCUGGUUGGGACGGUGACCCCAAACGACGACGAUUCGCCGGCGGGUGAUCGGAGCGAUGAGAGUGGCGGAGAAACCGCCGGCGUGGAAGUGUGCGCUUUCGAUAAUCGUGGAAUGGGUCGCAGCUCCGUUCCCACGAAAAGGUGCUAUGAUUGCUUGUAACCUGGCUGCCAUGGUACCUGAAAGAGUAUUUAUCCUUAGCUUUGUUGAAUGCAACUGGUGGAGGUUAUGAUUGACCAGAAAUCUCUGUCGAUUGCAAUGCCUUUUAUGAGAGCAAAAACUCCGGAACAAAGAGCAGCCAUUGAUCUAGAUACCCACUACUCCGAGGUUCAUUCUCAUGUUGAUGUGUACAAUUUCUCGGACAACACUUGGGGAGGAAAGUUUGACAUGCCAAAAGAAAUGGCACACUCACAUUUAGGCAUGGUGAUACAUUUAUAUUGUAACUGGACAGUAUGGUCCUCAAUGUAGAGGGCCUACAGCACACACGUUCAUACUAGACACAGAGACAAAAAAGUGGCAGAGCAUGCCACCUUUGCCUGUCCCAAG